UUAUAAUAAUAAUAAUGUCACUAUAAAUACAAAGGUAACUGAUAUACGUUUUCAUGGUUUUAUAUUGAGAGCCUGUAUAAUCAGAGGUGGAAAACUAGGGAAUCGUUUUCUAUUAACUCUUUGUCACGAGUGCCACCAUUUUCCAGUAUUAUAUUAUUGUCUACCAUGUAAUUGCUGGGUGCGUAUCGCUUGCGCUAUUAGUUCAUUAAGUCGUCAUUUAUUUAGUAAUAUACUGUGCAAUCG